UACGUAGGGUGCAAGCGUUGUCCGGAAUUAUUGGGCGUAAAGAGCUCGUAGGCGGUUUGUCGCGUCUGCUGUGAAAACUCGGGGCUUAACCCCGGGCGUGCAGUGGGUACGGGCAGACUAGAGUGCGGUAGGGGAGGCUGGAAUUCCUGGUGUAGCGGUGAAAUGCGCAGAUAUCAGGAGGAACACCGGUGGCGAAGGCGGGUCUCUGGGCCGUAACUGACGCUGAGGAGCGAAAGCAUGGGGAGCGAACAGG
rnacentral:rRNA from 1 species